rnacentral:rRNA from 1 species
UACGUAGGGUGCGAGCGUUAAUCGGAAUUACUGGGCGUAAAGCGUGCGCAGGCGGCUUACUAAGACAGGUGUGAAAGCCCCGAGCUUAACUUGGGAAUGGCGCUUGUGACUGGUAGGCUGGAGUGUGGCAGAGGGAGGUGGAAUUCCACGUGUAGCAGUGAAAUGCGUAGAGAUGUGGGGGAACACCGAUGGCGAAGGCAGCCUCCUGGGCCAGCACUGACGCUCAUGCACGAAAGCGUGGGGAGCAAACAGG